rnacentral:rRNA from 1 species
GUGCCAGCCGCCGCGGUAAUACGGAGGGUGCGAGCGUUAAUCGGAAUUACUGGGCGUAAAGCGCGCGUAGGCGGUUUGGUCAGUCGAUUGUGAAAGCCCUGGGCUUAACCUGGGAAUUGCAGUCGAUACUGCCUGACUAGAAUGUGGAAGAGGGAAGUGGAAUUUCCGGUGUAGCGGUGAAAUGCGUAGAUAUCGGAAGGAACACCAGUGGCGAAGGCGGCUUCCUGGUCCAACAUUGACGCUGAGGUGCGAAAGCGUGGGGAGCGAACAGGAUUAGAUACCCUGGUAGUCCACGCCGUAAACGAUGAGAACUAGAUGUCGGGAGGGUUUAGCCUCUCGGUGUCGCAGCUAACGCGUUAAGUUCUCCGCCUGGGGAGUACGCCGGCAACGGUAAA